rnacentral:lncRNA from 10 species
GUCCGUCCUCCUUUCUGGGCGAGAGGGAGGGCGGCGGGGGAAGAGGAGGUGCAAGGCGAGCCCUCUGCGCAAUUAGGCUACGGGCGGCCGCUGGCAGAAGUUCUGGCGGCGGCGCUCGCGGCCCUGCGCGCCGGAGGGGGCGCCCGGAGUCCAGCGGGCCAAGAAGGGCAGGGCGCCCGCUCCUCGCCCCCCGCCGCGCCGCGGCCCCAGGGGACCGCAAGGGGACAGUGAGGGGCCGGGCCUGGCACCGACGCAAGCUCGGGGAGCGCGGGUGGUGGGAGGCGGCGCGUGUUGAACAGGAAGUGCGCGGCGUGCAGCGCCACCGUCCCGCUCCCCGUCGCCCCACGCCGCCCUCGUCGCCGCGCCCAGACCCCUGCGGCGGCCGCAGCCGCUUGGGACUCGCUGCGAGCUGGUUUCGGAUCCAUCCCGCCUCCCGGCGUCUCACUGUGUGCCCUACCCUUUGAAACACGCCCCCGCGCCCGCCCUGCCGUAGACCAGGCAGCGAGGAAGCCCACAGUCUCCGGGGGCGCUGCGCGCGAAGUAGCACGUGCUUCUCGAAACACCGCAGCCCCCGGGUCCCGCCCCGCCCGGCGCGCGCACUCGAACCCGCCCAGAGAGCGGUGCGUGGCGCUGGGUGCGAGCAGGGUCUAGCCACCCCCACCCUCACCCCACCCCACCCCACCCUGCUUUUUUCAGGUUCAUCAAGGUUUGCGCAGUGGAUCCGCGCUUACAGUUUUAAUCCUUGUCAAAAUGAUCAUUUGCCAGGGUGCAUAAAACACCCUAUUUGAUGAGAACUGGUUUUAAAGGAAAAUGGGGCCAUCAGAAGGAAGCCGGUUGGUGUGAAGAGACGUCUGGGAAGAGCCCCUGGCGAGGGCCCUCAUUCCACUGGGUGACCCAGAAGGAGAAAACCGCGAUGGCGCUUCUCAUUUGAAAUGUUUUCUUUAUGGACAGUGUUUAGCAAUUGUUAUAAUGUGUACUUUUGUUGAUUGAUCUGUAUACAUAUGUAAAAUAAUUUGUUCUCUGAGUUAAUUUUGUUGGAACAAAGACUUUAGUGCUUCCUACAUUAAAACAUUUUACUGUAUUGCCUGCAUUUUAAGAGCCUUUUUUUAAUUUUUAAUUUUUUUGGUCCUUGUGAUAUGACGAGGUAUAAAUUCUGGGUUUUGUCCAGGGUUCCUGGCUUAGCACUCUCGUCG